rnacentral:rRNA from 1 species
AUUGAACGCUGGCGGCAGGCCUAACACAUGCAAGUCGAGCGGAUGAAGGGAGCUUGCUCCUGGAUUCAGCGGCGGACGGGUGAGUAAUGCCUAGGAAUCUGCCUGGUAGUGGGGGAUAACGUCCGGAAACGGGCGCUAAUACCGCAUACGUCCUGAGGGAGAAAGUGGGGGAUCUUCGGACCUCACGCUAUCAGAUGAGCCUAGGUCGGAUUAGCUAGUUGGUGGGGUAAAGGCCUACCAAGGCGACGAUCCGUAACUGGUCUGUGAGGAUGAUCAGUCACACUGGAACUGAGACACGGUCCAGACUCCUACGGGAGGCAGCAGUGGGGAAUAUUGGACAAUGGGCGAAAGCCUGAUCCAGCCAUGCCGUGUGUGUGAAGAAGGUCUUCGGAUUGUAAAGCACUUUAAGUUGGGAGGAAGGGCAGUAAGUUAAUACCUUGCUGUUUUGACGUUACCAACAGAAUAAGCACCGGCUAACUUCGU